UCUAGUCAUUCUCUGUAAUGGGAUGGGAUCCGAAGCCCCUUUGAGGGAUAAUACAGGCUCUCCCAUCCAACUCCUAUUCCGACACGUCCUCGUCGUGCAGAGUGGUAACAUGUGUCA
rnacentral:ribozyme from 1 species